GCGCUCGUAGCUCAAUUUGGACAGAGCGUCUGACUACGGAUCAGAAGGCUGGGGGUUCGAGUCCCUCCGAGCGCGCCA
rnacentral:tRNA from 1 species